UACGAAGGGGGCUAGCGUUGUUCGGAAUCACUGGGCGUAAAGGGCGCGUAGGCGGCCGAUCAAGUCGGGGGUGAAAGCCUGUGGCUCAACCACAGAAUUGCCUUCGAUACUGUUUGGCUUGAGACCGGAAGAGGUAAGUGGAACUGCGAGUGUAGAGGUGAAAUUCGUAGAUAUUCGCAAGAACACCAGUGGCGAAGGCGGCUCACUGGUCCGGUUCUGACGCUGAGGCGCGAAAGCGUGGGGAGCAAACAGG
rnacentral:rRNA from 1 species